UUUCCGUAGGUGGACCUGCGGAAGGAUCAUUCAUAAUAAGUGUUUUAUGGCACUUUUUUAAAUCCAUAUCCACCUUGUGUGCAAUGUCAGGGUUGAUUUUUCUCUCGAGAGGAUCAACCCCAAACAUCAACUAUAUCUCAACUCUUUGUCUGAAAAAUAUUAUGAAUAAAACAAUUCAAAAUACAACUUUCAACAACGGAUCUCUUGGCUCUC
rnacentral:misc_RNA from 1 species